UGUUCAGAGUGGUUGCUCUCCUUCCCUUACACCGCUUAAAUUGGAAAGCUGAGAUGCAAAGCAUAUUCCAGGGCCAGCCGAGUUAUAAUGGUGUUCUAUGACGGCUGUCAGCAGGUUAUUUUAGCCUUCACGGUCCUACUUCUAAAGAAUUUAUGUCACUUUCAGUGACUUGGCCAUUGUCUGUGGAUUUUCUCCACUACAAUAACUCAAGCUUGUCUCAUGUUGACAAAAGAAAAGCACAGCAGGACCAAAGAAAAGAGGAUGAAGAUGAAAUACAGCAUGGACGUUGCAAUCUUGGGUGCUUUGUGGACAGACAAGUAGAGAUGUAGAGUGAUCAGUAAACAGGGGAUCAGUAAAACAGGAAACCUUGGGUACUGAGCAGACUUCCUAAAGAAGAAAGAGAGCCAAGGAUCCUGAGGUCAGCAACAUAACAUGAAAGAGGAAAAUGAUUGUGACAAUGACAUCAAUUAGAAAGCAAAGCAAAAUGGAAAAGCAAGACAUUUAUCAAAUACUUACUGUGCUUGGGCACCAAUCUCCAUGCCUCACAUGUACCAAUGAAUCAUGACAAGCCCACCAGAGUGCCUUUAUGACCCUUGGCUUUCAUUAAUUUGGCUAAAUAUCAAAUUCUGCUGCCAGUUCUGUAUUAAUUUUGCUCAGACUUCUGAAAAUUCAAAUUCACUUUAGAAAAUAUUCGCACUAUUUAUAUCAUUAGAAACUUCUUUUGCCUUUCCACAUGUGCUGACCUGUUUGCCCUCUGUAUUUCUAUCCCUAUUUGUCAUUUAUCUCUUUGCCUGAAGUGAUGUGGCCUUUAUAGUGUUUUUUCCCUUCAAUUUGCAAUGUACAAAAGUCAUCACCUGUUUGCAUUUGCUUACAUUCAUAUCAUUUCCUUGUGGUUUUCAUCUCUACUUUGCAUUUUUCCCACUUCCUUCCUGCUGCCAUGUGUGCUAUCUCAUGCUGUUGGUGGUUUCUUAUGCAGCUUUGAUCCUUCUCUUUAAGACUCUUACCAUCUCUUUGUAUGUCCUUUUGAAAGAUUUCAACAAUAUCUGUUCUCCCACGACUUACAUUCCUGGUCUAGCCCUUUGCCUUGGAAUUUAUUGAAAACUCAUAACAAAUUCAUUUCAACAUGCACUGGCCUCCCAAACAGAGCACUUUUUAAGUGGAACUCAAAUGAUUUCUCUCACAUACAUUUUUGCCCCAUAUGCUUUCAUUCUGUAAGUGGCGCCACCUUUCCAACAGUUGUUCACACACAAAUCAGUAUUCGUUAUCAGUGUCCAUUCUCAAGUCCAGACCAUGGCAUGGAGAGCUUUGACUCCAAAAAGUUACACUAAUGUUAUCUGCUAGGGACUGUGGAUGUUCUGACUUUGAAAAUGUGACAUCAAUUGUUUUGGGAUAAAUAACAAAUUGUUUGGAGAAGGAACACCCAUGUAAGCAGUGGGCAAAAUGCCUAACCCUGGGUAAACUGAGAACUAAGGUUAGAAAUGAUAAAGUAAAUUAAAACAAGAUUAUUAAUACUCUUGCUUAGAAGGAGAAAUACGGCUUGUAGUGUAUAUAGCUCAAGGACAAAGCACCUCCUUAGCACAUAGGAGGCACUGAACUCCAUACCCAGUACUACACAGAAAAGAUGGGAAAUAACACUGUGUAUUUUUAUUUCAUAUAUAUCUACAUUUUAGAAUAUGGCAUGUUUAGUUGUAGAGG